rnacentral:lncRNA from 1 species
CCAUCCCCACCCUUUUGCUGCCCCAGCAGCGCGACCCCGCUGCGCUCCCGACCCGGCCCCCGGUGCUGCUCCCGGCAGCUCUCCGGGGAGGAAUUUCCCACUUUCCGUGGAGGGGCUGUUUUAAAAAUAGGAUCAGGGUCAGCGGGAGGGGAGAGAGGAGCUGUUGGGUUGAAAUUCCCCCAGCCAAGCACCCAGCGUGCCCCCCAGGCCCCCCCCACCCCCACCCAGUGCCUUCCCGCUGCGGUCCCCGCGGUGUUUCGGGUGCUGCUGUGCCCCGUCGGGGUCCCGUUGGGGCCGACCCGGCUUUUUGGGCUGUGCCCCCCCCCUCCACGGCGCUCCCCCCUGGCUCUUUGCAGAUGUCAAGCUGGAGGCGAGCAGCAGCAAGCACCGCGCCGGCUCCGCCGCCUUCCCUUGGCCGGAGGGGACAGCGCAGCCACCCAGAGCCCCAGGGGACGCCCUCAAGGCUCCAACCCCCAAAACCAAGAGCCCCGGCGCCAGGGAGUUCCAAAAAAUCAGCUCGGUCCUGCAGGCACCGAGGGCCAGGGAGCCGGCUGCCCCUACCCGCGCCGCCCCGCUGCUCUCCCCGGGGAGCCCGGGGACAGAGGGUCCUGCCCGGCCAGGGGGGGACGCGGUGGAGAGGAGCCCGGAGGAGCCCCCCGAAGGCCCCGAGGAGCCCCCCGGGACGCCGCCGGCCCAGGGCCAGCUGUACCCCGAGCAGCUGGUGAGCCACGUGCUGCAGGACGCGCUCAAGGCGAUGCAGGACGAUGCCCAGCCCGAAGAGGAGCCCGCGCUCAGCGCCGCCUGCGCCCCCCGGGACGCCCGCUCCCCCAGCCCCUCUCCGCCCGUGGAGGCUUGCGAGGCCGAGGAGGCCGGGGAGGAGGGGGGAGAGCCGGCCCCGAGCGUUGGGGUCCCCGAAAUGGAGGAGGAGGAAGGCGGAGGAGGCGUCCCCGAGGGGCUGGGAGGCGAGGGCAGCGCUCAGCAGGACGGCACCGGUCCCCGCGGCGCUGCGCCCGCGUCCCCCAGCGACACGGAGAG